rnacentral:rRNA from 1 species
CGGGGGGGAAAUUGCCAAAUGGGGCCGCAAGCCCUGUAUGCAGCCAUGCCCGCGUGUAUGAAAGAAGGCCUUCGGGUUGUAAAGUUACUUUCAGCGGGGAAGGAAGGGAGUAAAGUUAAUACCUUUGCUCAUUGACGUUACCCGCAAAAAAAGCACCGGCUAACUCCGUGCCAGCAGCCGCGGUAAUACGGAGGGUGCAAGCGUUAAUCGGAAUUACUGGGCGUAAAGCGCACGCAGGCGGUUUGUUAAGUCAGAUGUGAAAUCCCCGGGCUCAACCUGGGAACUGCAUCUGAUACUGGCAAGCUUGAGUCUCGUAGAGGGGGGUAGAAUUCCGGGUGUAGCGGUGAAAUGCGUAGAGAUCUGGAGGAAUACCGGUGGCAAAGGCGGCCCCCUGGACAAAAACUGACGCUCAGGUGCAAAAGCGUGGGGAGCAAACAGAAUUAGAUACCCUGGUAACUCCACGAAA